rnacentral:lncRNA from 1 species
UUCGGCACCAAGACACCUUAGAGAUAGAAACAAGGCAUAAGAGGAUGUACUGGGCCAACCAUGACCCUUUUCGAGCAGCUCUUUCAACUGCUGCCUAAUCUCCUCAUUGGCCAAUGUCGACGUCCUGUAACGCCGUUGUUGGGUAAGACUGCUCCCUGUGUGAGUUCAAUCGAGUGUGCUCCAAGCUGCUACAGGCUUUCAAUCCAAAUCAGCUACAGCUAAAUGAAACCAAAAGCAAAGUUUGAAAGCUCAAUUCCUAGCUGCUAGAGCUAAAUCUAAGGAUACUACCUUAAUUUUUCUAGUAGCUCCUUUGAUUUAGCGUAGGAAGGGUGGAAGCUCUAUAGGACAAUAGCUUUGGGAUAUUCGGAAGCUAUGCUAUAUAAGAAGAGAUAGCAGCGGCUGGC